rnacentral:lncRNA from 1 species
ACAAUGAUUUGUAAAGGUGUAAGCCAUAGACAGUAUCCAAUACUCAAGAAUCUGAAAUUGAAGUACUUAAUGAUAAGUUUAUUUAUAUUAUAUACAAAUCUUUAGCAAUGUUUGCUUCCUUGUACUUCAAAGUUGUAAGAUAUUUCUUGCAAUUUCUCUUCUAGUGCUAGUCCCUGCCACAAUGAUAGCAAGUAUCUUU